GCUAGCAUGGCUCAACGGUAGAGCAGCUGACUUGUAAUCAGCAGGUUGUAGGUUCGAUUCCUAUUGCUAGCUCCA
rnacentral:tRNA from 5 species